UACGGAGGAGGCAAGCGUUGCUCGGAAUCACUGGGCGUAAAGGGCGCGUAGGCGGGGAGGUAAGUCGGGUGUGAAAUCCCUCGGCUCAACCGAGGAACUGCCCCCGAGACUGCUUCUCUUGAGUCCCGGAGAGGAAGGUGGAAUUCCCGGUGUAGCGGUGAAAUGUGUAGAUAUCGGGAGGAACACCGGUGGCGAAGGCGGCCUUCUGGACGGUGACUGACGCUGAGGCGCGAAAGAGUGGGGAGCAAACGGG
rnacentral:rRNA from 1 species